AGCGAACGCUGGCGGCAGGCCUAACACAUGCAAGUCGAACGAAGUCUUCGGACUUAGUGGCGGACGGGUGAGUAACACGUGGGAACGUACCUUUUGGUUCGGAAUAACUGAGGGAAACUUCAGCUAAUAACGGAUAAGCUAUUCGGCGGAAAGAUUUAUCGCCAUUAGAGCGGCCCGCGUAGGAUUAGGUAGUUGGUGUGGUAAAGGCGCACCAAGCCUACGAUCCAUAGCUGGUCUGAGAGGAUGAUCAGCCACACUGGGACUGAGACACGGCCCAGACUCCUACGGGAGGCAGCAGUGGGGAAUCUUGCGCAAUGGUCGAAAGACUGACGCAGCCAUGCCGCGUGAAUGAUGAAGGUCUUAGGAUUGUAAAAUUCUUUUAGCAGGGACGAUAAUGACGGUACCUGCAGAAAAAGCCCCGGCUAACUUCGUGCCAGCCGCCGCCGUAA
rnacentral:rRNA from 1 species